GACGAACGCUGGCGGCGUGCCUAAUACAUGCAAGUCGGACGAGUUGCGAACGGGUGAGUGACGCGUAGGUACAUGCCUAUUAGAGGGGGGUAACUAUGGGACUCGAUCGCUAUUACCGCAUACUAGUAGCUGGAUCUGCGUGCUAUUAGCUAGUUGGUAGGGUAAUGGCCUACCUAGGCAACGAUACAUAGCAGACCGGAGAGGGUGAUCGGCCACACUGGAACUGAGACACGGUCCAGACUCCUACGGGAGGCAGCAGUGGGGAAUAUUGGACAAUGGGCGAAAGCCUGAUCGAGCAAUGCCGCGUGUGUGAAGAAGGUCUUCGGAUUGUAAAGCUCUGUAAGUUGGGAAGCGGUACCAACAGAAAAAGCACCGGCUAACUUCGUGCCAGCAGCCGCGGUAAUAC
rnacentral:rRNA from 1 species